rnacentral:rRNA from 1 species
CACGCUGUAAACGAUGAGUGCUAGGUGUUGGGGGUCAAACCUCGGUGCCGCAGUUAACGCAUUAAGCACUCCGCCUGGGGAGUACGUUCGCAAGAAUAAAACUCAAAGGAAUUGACGGGGACCCGCACAAGCAGCGGAGCAUGUGGUUUAAUUCGAAGCAACGCGAAGAACCUUACCUGGAUUUGACAUCCCUCUGACCGUCUCUUAAUCGAGAUUUUCCCUUCGGGGACAGAGGAGACAGGUGG